GAUGAACGCUGACAGAAUGCUUAACACAUGCAAGUCAACUGUGGCGGACGGGUGAGUAACGCGUAAAGAACUUGCCUCACGGAUAGGGACAACAUUUGGAAACGAAUGCUAAUACCUGAUACUGUAAUAGAGCUUUGCGUCCCAUUAGCUAGUUGGAGAGGUAACGGCUCACCAAGGAGAUGAUGGGUAGCCGGCCUGAGAGGGUGAUCGGCCAACAGGGGACUGGGACACGGCCCUUACUCCUUCUGGAGGCAGCAGUGGUGAAUAUUGGACAAUUGACCAAUGUCUGAUCCAGCAAUUCUGUGUGAACGAUGAAGUUUUCGGAAUGUAAAGCGCUUUCAGUUGGGAAGCGGUACCAACAGAAGAAGUGACGGCUAAAUACGUGCCAGCAGCCGCGGUAAUAC
rnacentral:rRNA from 1 species